GGCUUGGUGGUGUAGUGGUAACACACCUGCUUUAUUUAAUGAAGGUUAAAGUGGGUUAAGCAGGAGUCCCUUGUUCGAUUCAAAGUCAGGCCA